AGUGGACGCUGGCGGUAGGCCUAACACAUGCAAGACGAACGGCAGCACAGUAAGAGCUUGCUCUUACGGGUGGCGAGUGGCGGACGGGUGAGGAAUACAUCGGAAUCUACUUUUUCGUGGGGGAUAACGUAGGGAAACUUACGCUAAUACCGCAUACGACCUACGGGUGAAAGCAGGGGAUCUUCGGACCUUGCGCGAUUGAAUGAGCCGAUGUCGGAUUAGCUAGUUGGCGGGGUAAAGGCCCACCAAGGCGACGAUCCGUAGCUGGUCUGAGAGGAUGAUCAGCCACACUGGAACUGAGACACGGUCCAGACUCCUACGGGAGGCAGCAGUGGGGAAUAUUGGACAAUGGGCGCAAGCCUGAUCCAGCCAUACCGCGUGGGUGAAGAAGGCCUUCGGGUUGUAAAGCCCUUUUGUUGGGAAAGAAAAGCAGCAGGUUAAUACCCCGCUGUUCUGACGGUACCCAAAGAAUAAGCACCGGCUAACUUCGUG
rnacentral:rRNA from 1 species